rnacentral:rRNA from 1 species
GACGAACGCUGGCGGCGUGCCUAAUACAUGCAAGUAGAACGCUGAAGGAGGAGCUUGCUUCUCUGGAUGAGUUGCGAACGGGUGAGUAACGCGUAGGUAACCUGCCUGGUAGCGGGGGAUAACUAUUGGAAACGAUAGCUAAUACCGCAUAAGAGUAGAUGUUGCAUGACAUUUGCUUAAAAGGUGCAAUUGCAUCACUACCAGAUGGACCUGCGUUGUAUUAGCUAGUUGGUGGGGUAACGGCUCACCAAGGCGACGAUACAUAGCCGACCUGAGAGGGUGAUAGGCCACACUGGGAGUGAGACACGGACCAGAGUCCUGCGGGACGCAGCAGUAGGGAAUCUUCGGCAAUGGACGGAAGUCUGACAGAGCAAGGCCGAGCGAGUGAAGACGGUUUUCGGAUCGUAAAGAUCUGUUGUAAGAGGAGAACGAGUGUGGGAGUGGAAAGUUCACACUGUGACGGUAUCUUACCAGAAAGGGACGGCUAACUACGUG